AGAGGAGGGUUUUCUUGGUGAAACCCUAGCCGCCACCUCAAACCUCCUUUCUCUCUCCCCGUCACUAUGGUCGUGAAUGGAAAAAUCGCAAUAGUCUUUAGCUUUUACAGGCCUUGUAUGGCCAUUUGGAGAAGGAGCAUUCAAUGCUCCGUCCUUACUUCACUAUAAAUCAACCAAACAAGGUAUAACCCUCCAUUUUCCCUUUUUCUUUUCUGCAAAUCGCGGUCAAAUGAGUACAAAUCUCUUAAUGAGAUUUGUCUCGUUACUAUUUCAAACAAACGAAUUUCAUUGGUUGUGUUUGGUUUACACGGAUUCAAGAGAAUCCUUUGCAAAUGCAUAGUACCACAUCGACAGUUUUAGGAGUUUUUGGAGUUCUAUAUAAAGAACCCCAUAUUUCACUUCAAAACACACCUUCACUCUGAUACAUAGACAAGUCUCAAUUUCAGAGCAAAAACACCUAGUUUAACUAGGGAUUUAACACAUUUUGCUGAAACCUUUACUCAGUUAGGUUAAAAGUCUAAAGUUUGGUUUUCUUUUUUUCGCGGCUGAGUUCGAGGGAAAGCAUAAGGGCCUGUUUGGAAAGCCAUCCAUGUAAUUGAAAUUGGGUGUAAUUACACUGUUUGACAUGUUUGUCCAGCCAAGUAAUUACAUUCUUAGAAGGGAAUUUAGUGUAAUUGGAGGGGUGUAAUUACACUCUCCAAUUCUCGAGGGGGGGGGGUGAGAAUUGGGUGUAAUUACACCGUGUAAUUACAUGCCUAACUUUUCAGAUAUCUUUUUUCGAUCAAAUAUUAUUUCAUCUGAAAAACAAAAGGACAUAUCAUCUCUUUCCAACAAGCAGCAACACUGCUGUUCACUUCAACCUCCAGGUAAGAUCUUUUCUUUCCCCUUUUUUAUUUCAUAUAUUUGAUUUCUUGGUAGCUAAUUUAUGUAUCUAAUCUUUAUAUUUUCUCCUACAUGUUCCUGAAGAAUAGAAUACAAGAAUUAAAAUUUUCUCUAAUUUCUGAUAAUAAUAUAAGAAAUAAUUUUUAUAAAAUAUUAAAAUUUAUUUACCUAAGCCUAGUCUCAAGUAGAUUAUUAUUUGAUAAAAAAUAUGUUGAUGAGAUAUCUCAGUACGACCUAUGUACAUUCUUUUUCUUUUUCUUUUUUUUCUUUUGGCAUAGGUAUGCUCUACAAACAUUCUUUAGCUCUAAAAUUAGCAAGAUCCUCACUGUUCUUACGAUGCCAUAUGAUGUUGGAUGAUAUUAGGGGAAAGCUUGAUUUAGUUUUAAUUGAGUACAAUGAGGUGAGCUUUUGGUUGAAUGGCAUUCUUUGUAUUUUAAAUUAUUAGCUUCUAUACAGAGUCUUGAUGGUGCAAAUGUCAAAUAGGUUAAGCUAGAGUACAAAAGGGGAACUUAUUUUAAAUACCUCACAAUAUAUAUAUAUAUAUAUAUAUAUAUAUAUAUAUAGAGUAAAACUUAUUCAUACGUUAAUCUGUUUUUUUUUUUAGCUUAGCUGUGUAAUUACAUUUGUCUAGAGUAAAACUUAUUUAUACGUUAAUUUGUUUUUUUUAGUUUAGCUGUGUAAUUACAUUUGUCCAACCAAACAGGACAGAGGGAAUUACAUUGUAAUUACGCUCUGACAAACAAACAGGUCAUUGUAAUUACUAUGCUGUGUAAUUACCAGGCUGUGUAAUUACCAUUCUAGUAAUUACACCAAUUUCAAUUACCAGGUGGCUUUCCAAACAGACUCUAAGACUUCAAUUUCAUUCUCGACAAAGGCUACGCAAAAAGAGGUAAUUUUCUCUCCUUUUAUUUAUUUUAGCAUUUUUUGAUUUGAUUGCUAUGUGUUUAUAUGUUAUCUGUGUUUUAGUGUGAGUUUAUUUUAAAUCUUGAUUAUGUCAGCUAUGUAUGUUUAACUUAGUUUAGUAUUUUCUUAAGUAUGCUGAUACAUGUUUAGUAUAGCUUAGUUUAGAUUAGUUCAGUAUUGAUUAUCUAGAAUAGUUUAGUUUGGUUAUUAUGUAUCAGUUAAUAUGCCUAUAGACCCUGCUUGACUUAACUAAAUGCCUAAUCAUGUGACUUGUUUAAAAAUCCGCUGGUUCAUUGGCAUGUUUAGUUGAACUAAUAUUCAACUAUGUGUUUAGAAAGGUUCUUAUUAUCUCGAAUAUUUACUUAUUUUGAUUAAGUUAGUCAUUUAUCAUUUUGUUUUGUCUAUCCUGUCCUAUUAUGAGGUCAGUAGUGGCUUAUCAUGUUUUGGCAUCAAGAGACAAAUGGGGUAUAGAUGUUGCAAAUAGGAUUUGACUUCUAAGAUGCCUAAUCCUGAAGUUUGCAAGUGUUUAGUGCCUUCACUAGCUUAGUUUCAUCAAUAGCAUGUUUAGAAAAUCUAUUUUCCAUGUGAUUUGCUCUUAACUGGUCUUUCCUUAAGGAUUCAUGAGAAGUAGACCUAACAGAAAUUCUUAAACAAGUUCCAAAUUAGUUGUGUAGAGUUUUCAUAUGUUCAUCUAACUUGAAGUAGUAUUAAAAGCUUUAACAUGACCUUUUGAGCUUGUGUUCAUGUAACUUAAUGUAGAAACUACUUUGAGUUGCUUUGUAUGGAGUCAAUAUGUCUUGAUCCCUUAAUGGACAUUUAUUAUUUGUCUCUCAUGUUAAUCUGGAGAUAGGCUUAGAUAAAUUUUUAACCUCAAGUGGUCAUAACUUUUUAAGAAGAUACUUGUGUACUUAUCUACAUCCUUUGUGGUCUAUGAUGCAUCAGUAAAGAUUUAGGAUGUUGGUUUGUUCACAUGAGUUUGUUUGACUUGCUUUACAUCUAUUUUGAGCCUUCAGUAAAUCAUUUGAGAUUAAAGCAUGUCUUGUAUCCCAUUCUGGCCAUUUGUGCCCCUUUCAUGCCUAUGUUUUCCUAAUGAUAGUAUAGAGUCUUCAUGACAGUUUCACUAUAGUGAUUAUCCUAAAAAUGUGUCAAGUGCAUAUCUAUAUAAGAAGAGGUUCAGUUUUUGCAUUGAAAAGUGAUUUAUGGAAACUGGAGGCAUGCCACACGUUUAGUGGGGUGUUUCUAUCAGAGAAUUACCUUUAUCUAAUUUAAAGGAUUAAACUAGGGGUACAACUGAUUCAUAUUCAUGUCCAUCCCUUCCCUUUCCUUUUUGUUUUGAAGAAAUCAACCUAUGCAUAUUAUUGUGUGAUGACUUGAGAUUAGUUUGAGAUUGUUCAAUCAUAAAUUAGCAUGACCCUCUUCCCCUAGCCCCUUCUAUGCUAUGUUAUUGAAGAUAUACACAAACAUGUUAUAAACUAAUAGGGGUCAAAAUGUAGUAGGCAUGAUCUAUGUAUGGCCUGAUAUAUGCUUAGCAUACACUAUUUCAUGUUUACUGCCUGGUACUAAGUUUUCAUUUAUGCUGAUAUAUGCGAAAUAUACAAGGUACACAUGUUCUGCAUACACUCUGUGUAUAUAGGAAGGUAUACCUUAUAUAUUCAUUGAAUCCAUUUAUGUGAAUUUGAUAUAGAUAUAAUCUUAUUGGGCCUGCUCUUUUAUUUGGUUUCAUUUGGUGAUUCGGGGCUGUGGCUAUCUAGAGAUGUACAAGAGGUACAAUGAAUUUAUAUGGUGCAUACACUUAGAAGCAUAUAGGAGAGCAUGUAUAUUGUCUAUAUCAGUGGAUUUAGGUGGAAACUUUUAACUCAACUAUGUUUGUAAUAAUAUUGUUGGGCCUGCUCUUUCCCUUUACUACUUUGUCAUUAACAAUGGGCCUGUCUCCUACCCUAGCCGAUUUGUAUUGCUGUUGAAAUUGGGGCUUGCCCUGUUGUGUUAUUUUUGCUUUACUUGGGCUUGUUUGCGUUUUUCCUACUUAUUUGGGCCUCUGUUUCUUGUGUUUAUUUUCCCAGUCAUGUUAAACAUGUUUAUCCUACAUAUUUGUAUACGUGAGUUAUAUGUGUUUUCUUACUUAAGUCCUAAUUGGUUUUAAUGAUUAAGUAUAGAUACCCCCUAACCGUAUUUCCCCUUUUCCCCUUUCUUUGUUUGCAUGGGACCUCGACGUGGGCUACUUGGGCCAUCUUCUUCCAUUAAACCUGUUGGGCCAGAGGCCCAAAAAUAUUUCAUUCAUCGAGUCCGAAUUAAAGAAAGAAUGAUGAAGGCCCAACUAUGGGUGAAAAUAGCAACUGGUGGGCUUAGAAAAAAGGGUUGAGCGGUGUUGUUCCACGCUGGCAUACUUCACUAGAUCAAAAGCUGCAAUAGCAUCCCUUUCACAAUCUUGUGGAAUCCGAGAAUAAGUCUCUCACUUAUUGAACAUGUAAAGCUUAUAGCAGUAUGUUUCUCAAUAUGUAUUCACAUACAAUCUAUUUAUUAGCUUCACAACAACGUAUUCCUCAGUCACAAUCUUGAACAUAAUGCGAAACCUAAGAAAAUAUAGCAAGAAGUAGGAAAUUUUAUGAUAGAGAUGCAUACACUUGUCCGGAUGUGCUUUAUUUCAAUCUGAGGUAAGUUGUAAUAUGGCUAAAGCCAACAAGGCAAAGGCAAAGUAGAAAUAACUGGUACUUCAGAAAAUGAGCACACUCAGAAUGAACUCGUCAUCAGGGACUCUCCCCCAUUGAACCGAAAAGAACCCUCACACUCCGAGGACGUGAUAAACAUGCUUCUGGAGAAUGUUGCUGACCUUCACGAGAAGGUCACAAGAGCUGAAAUGGCUAAAGAAACAUAUGUUGAGGCAAGAAGGCCAUCUUCACCUUUUCCUUCUCUAUGUUCACCACUGCCCGACCAUUUUCCCGCCUACCCUAUUGGAGCAAUGUCAUCCAUCCAAAACCCACUCACUACUGAACCAACCCACGGUGGUACGUCGUACCACUCUCCACCGCCACUCAACACUGUCCAAAUCCCUGGAGCUAUCCAUUCAGUGCCGGUUAUAUUAGGCCCUACAACCCACCUACCUUAACUCCACUAUCUGCCCAGACACCAUUUCGCUAUCAACCACAAAAAUACCCACACACCCAAAAUCCACCCGCACACCCAACCAUUUCUUUCCACACCCUGUCACACGAAGCACUUUUUCCCCAGAUUACCAAGAACUUGACCAUUAUGAUGAGAAGGAAAAGGUUUGGAGAACCAAAAAAGACAAGUGCGAUAAAGAAAUAGAGCGCAGGGUGGCUGAAAUGCUGGAACAAUCCGUGAGAGCUACCCGUAAGGCAACGGGAUUAAGCUACGAUGACCUUUUUAUGCAUCCAGGCUUGGAUCUGCCCGAGGGUUUCAAAGUGCCCAAGUUUGAAAUGUUCAACGGGACGGGAAAUCCCAAGGCCCAUUUACGAGCCUAUUGCGACCAACUAGUUGGUGUCAGGAACAAUCCAGCACUCAUCAUGAGACUAUUUAGCCGAAGUCUUACCGAAGAGGCCUCCGAAUGGUUCACCACGCAAGACAUGCGCCGAUGGGCCACAUGGGAAGGCAUGACAGGAUCUUUUAUGGAAAGGUUCUGAUUCAACGUUGAAACAGUGCCUGAUCGGUAUUACUUGGAGAAAGUCAAGUAAAAGUGAACAAAAAACUACUGCGAGUAUGCGAGUAGAUGCAGGGCCGAAGCCGCCCGAGUAUAACCGCCAAUGAAUGAGGAAGAGUUAGUCUCUGAUUUUAUCUGGUCACAAGAAACGAAGUUCUAUGAUCGAAUGCUGUCAAUGGUUAGAAGGUCAUUUCGGAAUGUCAUUCUCUGAACUAUUAAAAAUGAGAGAAGCCAUAGAAGAUGGUCUUAAAUCAGGAAGAAUUAUAAGAACAACUGGAAAAGCUACUGGACAGAGCAUUGUGAGACUCGCCAGAAAGAAGAAACAGGACGCGGCAAACGUUUCCCAUACUCUUACCCCAAAAACUCAAAGGAGGGAGGAACUACGAUCUCCCGGUGAAAUAUAUUAAUCACCGCCACCAAAUGCCUAUCGACUUACACUAUACAAACCUAUGCCCAUUUACGACGCACAACCCAAUUUCCAAACACCACCGCCAAACUACCAAGCUCCACAAAUAGCCUUCCAAAUACCACCAUCGAACUACCAAGAUCCAUAUGUCACGACCCAGCUAGAGGGUCAUGACGGGCGCCCAGAGUAGGCCUACCAAGUACCUCUGAACAUACACCUUAUAAUCAUUUCUAGGUGGGCCAUAAGCUAGUUCAUAUGCAUCAUACUCUGUAUGGACGGGUAUCACAAUAUAAUGGCACAUUAUGAUGUAAUCACUAGCAAACAGAUACAUGCAUCGGUCUACGAGCCUCUAUAUAUACAGAAUACAAGAAUCCAUAAGGACGGGGCAGGACUACGCCGUGCCUAAGUAUAUACACAAAAGGGGAGUACCAAUAAGCUGCAGCUCUGGGACAACUGGAGCCUUCCUAGAACACCACUGAUAAAGCUCCUAAGGGGUAGGUUCGUCUAUCCGUCCACCUGCGGGCAUGAACGCAGCGUCCACAAGGAAGGACGUCAGUACGCAUAAUGUACUGAGUAUGUAAGGCAUGAAUAAUAUCAUAAUAAGAGAAGUGAAACACAACAUGAAGUAAAGAGAUAACCUGUACUUCAGACUGCCUCUUAAGGCGGAUGUCAUGCAUGCUAACUUUCACUUCUUUUAAACAACAUUAUAAAUACAUACAAGUAAACUACCCGACCAUAUAGGUACGGUGUUAUGCUGCUCGUCCAUUUAGGCAUGGUGUUGUCAUAAUUAGCCCGUAUCCUGGCCUCCCGCGUCCAGGGCGUAAGCUGCCCACUGCAGUGGUGUGUCUGCCUCGCCGCCUAUUGGGCGGCAUGGUGUUAUUAAAAUACAUACAUAUUUAUAAAGCAUACAUGAGAGCCCAAGUGAAAGCUACAACUCUAUCAGAGUGACAUAAGGUCGGUAACCUCCGAUUAUAUUAUGGAAUAAUCAUCAUCGCUAUAUCUCACCUCGAAGGAACAAUUCAUAAGGUGAGAUCAACAACAAUUAGCAAUUCAAGAAAAUCAUGAAAUAAACUCGUUAAUCUUAUAAUAGCAUUAGAAUCAUAGCUUUGGAACUUCUAGAAAUAGAGUCAUCCUAAUCAUCAUUAUCUUCAUAAGCAUACUCAUCCUUACUGUCAUAAGAAACUCUUGGAAUCAUAAAUCUUUAGCUCUUGAGGAAUGAGGACAUUAUGGAAAACAUGUAUGAAUAUACAAGAAAGAAAUCAUCAUUGUCAUCAUGGUCCUCAUAGAAAACAUCUUGUCUUUAAUAUUAUAAAAACCUUGAGAAUCAUGAAUCUUUAGCUUUUCGGGAACAAGGAUGUUAUGGAAAACAUCUAUGGAAUCAUAAAGUAGGAGUCAUGCCUUUAGAAAGAAAGGGACUAGCCUCACAUGCCUGAUUGAUCUUCUACUAAUAAAUGCUUAUUCUCCCGAACUUAUGAAUCUACAUUCAAGAGAAAUUAUAUUACCGUUAGACUUAUCGUCAUAUACCUAUCUCAAGUCUUUAAAUCAAACUCCUUUAGAAUCUGCCAAAAUUCGGGCAGCAUCUCCCCUGUUUAUAUCUCUAGCCCGAUAUCAUAAUUUCAGUAACCAACACAACCACAACAACAACAACACCAAUAACAUCAUCCUCAAUACCAAAAUACUCCAUAAAACAUCCUACACGAUGUUCAUCCAAUUUUUUAACCAACAAAUUCGUUACACGACUAUUUAUUAACUUUAUCUCCAUAAUUAAUACUUAAAUCAAUAUCAAUAAAGCAAAAUUCAUACGUUACUCCCGCUAGAACCGCGAUACCUUCAAUAUUCACCUUGAAUUCCAGCAAAGAUUCACUGCAGUACGAUAUUAUAAUCGCAACUAUACGUUGUCGGAACCCGAAUUCGGAGAUUAUACCUAAUUCGCGUUAGAAUUUAAGGUUUGGAACUUGGGGGAAGUUUCCAAAAAAUUUGAGAGGUUUUGGGGUGUUUUUGGAUUAGAAAUGAGGGGGUGAGCCCCCUUUUAUAAUGUUUCAGAUUCUGUCCGAACCGACUUAAAAAUUACUCAGCGCGUUCGUGCUGAGUUGUUCCGUGGCUCCUUUGUGCGUUCGCCCCACCCUUAGGCCCGUUCGCGCCACCCUUAGGUGCAUUCACGCAGGGUUAGUCCCUGUUCUGGCAGCCUAUUUUGAAAUGAUCAUAACGCUUGAUCUCGAUAUCCAAUCGAUACACGGUUUGUUGCGUUGGAAACUAGACUUCCUGAACUUCAUCUUAGGCUUUUACUUUGCUCCAAAACUCCUCAUCUACUAAAACAUAUAUUUUCUCCAAGUUGGGCCAAAACUGUCCCUCAUAACCAUAAGCUAAGGACAUAUAACCUCAUACAUCUUUGGAUGUAACUCCAAUGUCCACAAUUGAAUGACUAACACCUAGCGGAUCUCAAUGUACAUGACUUAUGAGGUGUAACACCAUAUCCAAAUUACCAAAACGAACCACCGCCAAAUACUUAUAACCUGCCGUGUCCUAACUUCGAAAAGAAGCCUGCCUGUGUGUUUACCCCGCUGCUCGAAACAAGAACUAAACUGUUUGAGAGAUUAAAUGCUGCUGGAUUGAUCCAAGCGGUCCAGCCAAAAGUUGUCAAUCCCGAAAAUAGAUUCUUCCGUAUGGAUCAAAUAUGUGCCUACCAUUUUGCGAGAAAACGGACAUAGCACUGACUACUGCAUUAACCUAAAGCAUAAUAUACAAGAUCUGAUUGACAAGAAGGAAAUCACUCUUCAGACUGCUACACAAAAUGUGAAUACCAAUACCCUGCCCAAAUAUGGCAACAACACGAUCCAUGUGAUAGAAAGAGAGGAAGAUUGGGUUGUACGCAAGUCUGUGAUCCGAGAUCCAAUCCAAGCCCCAGAGGAAACAGUAGCAUCGCUCACAAUACAAGAGCGCCCACAAUUUAAAGUUCUAAUCCCCGCACCAAUCAUAGCACCCGUAUUUCAAGAAGUGAUAACAACACUAAGAAAAGAAUUUAUUGUGCAAGCGGCAGUUGCCCAUGGGAUGACACGGUGUGGAAGAUGUCAUACGCUCGAUGAAUUGGCCCAAGGAGCUCUAAGGAAAGAGGGGAAUCAAUGAAGGCCCAUUACUGAGGGCGAGGCCGAAGACUUCUGGCGCCGGAUGCAGCUUAAAAAAUAUUCCAUUGCGGAAUAUCUCAAGAAAACACGAGCCCAAAUAUCUAUACUAGCAUUAUUAUUGAGUUCGCCUUAACACCGUUUGACCCUAAUGAAGGUACUAAAUGAGGCCCACGUCCCCGCAGGGACAAGCAGCGAACACCUAGACAAGAUGGUCGCACAUGUUAUGAAAAAACACCAAAUCUAUUUCAUUAGUGAAGAAAUGCCCAGGGAAGGCACGAAGCACAACAAAGCGCUACAUAUCACCGUGAUGUGCCGAAACAAAGUGGUAACACGAGUUUUAAUCGACAACGAGGCUGAUCUCAACAUUUGCCCUGAAUCCACACUCAGCCAAUUGGGCUAUGAUCUCGGGAAGAUUUAUCAAAGCCGUACGAAUGUAAGAGCAUUUGAUGGAGCUCAACGUGACCCAGUUGGGGAAGUCGACCUUUAUAUCCAAAUGGGGCUUGCUGAGUUCAUCAUCGAGUUCCAAGUAAUGGCGAUAGCUGCUAACUACAAUUUGCUAUUAGGAAGACCAUGGUUACACAUGGCAGGAGCCACACCGUCCUCGCUGCAUCAGGCUGUAAAAUUCAUAAUGGAUGGCCAUGAGGUUGUAAUUCACGGAGAGGGUAGUAUCUAUAAUUACCCAGACAACUCGGUGCCAGUCAUCGAAGAGACUCCCAAAGGAACACAUUUCCACAUGGUAUAAUUAGUGAGGGCUACUCAUAAAGAAUAUUUCACACAGGUACCCAUGCUUGCGGUCUACAAAAUUAUAGCCACAACUAUGCUUCAAAACGGGUUUGAACCCGGAUGAGGUCUUGGAAGAGACCUACACGGCAUCACAGAGCCAGUACCCAUUCCACGAGAUAAAUUUUUCUUUGGGUUAGGGUAUGCUCCUAAUGAUGAUGAUAUUUUCAAAGCCAAUAGGAAGAAGAAAAGCCUCGUGAAGCUGCGCAAGCCAAUACUGAAUUUUUACCAGUCAUUCCCAGUGAGGAUACUCAUGUUGAAUGAUGUAAGCAUAUGAGAAGGGUUGUGGUAUUGGAAGAGUGCACUGAAGCGCCCACCAUCCGUGAUGCUGAUCCGGGCAAGAAACUAUCCAACUGGACCUCUACCCUGCUCUUAGCUCUUCGGUAGAGAAAGAAUGAAUUUAUGCUUUAAAAUUAGCGAGAAUCAGUUGAGGUCCGAUUACUAACCAUUUGCACUUUCUAUUACCUCGUGAUGUUUUCAAAAUGGAAAUGACUCGAUGUUGAUCCGAGUCAGGACCACAGUUUGUACUUCUUUUCAGUCGAAAUUAAUGUAGCCUCGAGUUAUGAAAAAAUAUAUGAUAACUUUUUCUUUUCUUUACUUACGCAUAUGUUUUAUACUAACCUUACUUUGACUUGAUUUUUCAGUAAUAAAAGCAAUAAAACAACCUUAAAUGUCAUGACAUGUCGCAAAAUGAAUGAGUCGAGUGACGUAGUAGAAGAGGAUUACGAAGAGUACGAUGAAGAGACAAAGUUGCCUGAGGGUCUCGUAGAGGAAGUAGAGUAGUUUGUGAAUGAGAAAAAGCUGAACCUAGAUAAAACAGGAGCAAUCAAUCUAGGAGAUGAGGAAACGAUCAAGGAAACUAGGAUAAGUGCGCAUUUGGAAGCGCCUCAAGAAGAAGAGCUUUUCAAUGGAUAUUUUCAAUGGUCAUAUGCUGACAUGCCGAGACUAAGCACCAACAUAGUAGCCCACAGAUUAACCAUCAAUGCGGGUUUCACUCCGGUCAAGCAGAAAACCAUGCAAUUCAAGCUAGAUCUUAGUAUUUGCGUUAAGGAUGAAAUGGAAAAAUAGAUUAAGUCUGGAGUAGUGGAGGUAACUUCGUACCCGAUAUGGUUGGCCAACAUAGUGCCGGUACCUAAAAAAGACGAAAAGAUUCGAAUAUGCAUGGACUACCGGGAUCUCAAUCGGGCUAGUCCCAAGGACAACUUCCCACUCCCGAACAUGUAUUUACUCAUUCAUAAUUGCGCAAAACAUGAGUUACAAUCAUUCGUGGAUUGCUUUGAAGGGUAUAAUCAAAUCUUGAUAAGCGAAGAGGAUGCGAAAAAGACAGCUUUCAUCACUCCAUGAGGAGUGUAUCACUAUAGAGUAAUGCCGUUCGGUCUCAAGAAUGCUGGCGCCACUUAUAUAAGGGCAAUGACCAUCAUUUUUCAUGACAUGAUCCACAAGGAAAUUAAAGUAUACGUGGACGAUGCCAUCAUCAGGUCAAGAGAAAGCUCAGAGGAUACUACAUAUUUGCGGAAGUUCAUCGACAGACUCCGAAAAUUCAAUUUGAAGUUAAAUCUGCCCAAAUGUGCGUUUGGAGUACCUGUGGGAAAACUAUUAGGAUUCAUUGUCAGCCGGAAGGGCAUAGAGCUAGACCCGGUAAAGAUCAAAACUAUCCAAGAGUUGCCCCUCUAAAGACUAAGAAAUAGGUUAUGAGCUUCCUAGGAGGGUUAAAUUACAUCGGACGGUUCAUAGCCCAGUCCACCAUCAUUGUGGAGCCAAUACUCAAGCUGUUAAAGAUGGAUGCACCGACAAAAUGGACUGAGGAGUGUCAAAAAGCAUUUGACACAUCAAGAGAUACUUGUCCAAUCCACCAAUCUUGGUACCUCAUAGGCAUGGAGCCUGUUGUUGCUAUACUUGUUGGUACCAGAAAAUACCAUCGGAUGCAUGUUAGAAAAAUACAAUGAAACUAACAAAAACGAGAGCGCAAUUUAUUAUUUAAGUAAGAAGUUCACCUCCGGCGAGGCAAGAUACACACUGGUGGAAAAGACAUGUUGUGCCUUGACAUGGGUAUCCCGAAAGCUAAGGCACUACCUGUCGUCAUACACUACUCACCUCAUAUCCAAGAUGGAUCUAUUGAAAUACAUCUUUCGCCAGUCCAUGCUUAUCGGGAAGUUGGCCAAAUGACAAAUGCUAUUAAGCAAAUUUGAUAUUGUAUACAUAGCACAAAUGGCCGUCAAAGGACAAGCAUUGGCUGACUUACUGGCUGAAAGCCCAGUCGAUGAUGAUUUUGAACCCACUCCCAUAUAAAGGAGUACUGACGAUAAAAGAAGACAUAGCCGGGUCCUCUUUAGGAUGGAGAUUUUUCUUCGACGGUGCAAUCAACUACAAGGGUUCAGUAAUCGGAGCAGUCUUGGUAUCAGAAACAGGGCAACAUUACCUGAUGGCCGCGAAGCUCAAAUUUUGAUGCACUAACAACAUGGCGGGGUAUGAGGUCUGCAUUCUAGGCCUCAAAAUGGCUUUGGAUAUGAACAUCCAGGAGUUAUUGGUCAUAGGUGAUUCAGAUCUGUUGAUCCCCCAAGUACAAGGAGAAUGGGCUACCGAGAACUCCAAGAUAUUGCCAUACCUGAACAGCCACCUGAUGAAGGACAUCUGUGAUCAGUUCCAGAUAACCAUGCAGAAUUCAACUGCCUACCGACCACAAAUUGAUGGAGCUGUGGAGGCGGCCAACAAAAAUAUCAAGACGAUAUUAAGGAAAAUGACAGACAACUACAAGUGUUGGCACGAAUAGAUGCCUUAUGUAUUGCUGGGAUACCGAACAAUGAAUUAGACUUCAACAGGAGCAACUCCAUAUUUUCUUGUCUAUGGUACUUAAGCUGCCGUACUCGUUAAAGUAGAAAUACCAUCACUAAGGAUCAUCCAAGAAGCAUAGUUGGACAACACAGUGGGUUCGAAAUCGAUACGAGCAACUGGCUGAUAUCGAUGAAAAAAUAAUGGUGGCCGUAUGUCACGGUCAAUUAUACGAACAAAGAAUGGCACGCGCCUUCAACAAGCAAGUAAGAGCUCGACUUUUCCAAAUAGGGAAAAUGAUACUCAAGCGAGUGUUUCCAUACCAAGAUGAGUACAAAGGAAAGUUUGCACCCAACUGGCAAGGGCCAUACGUGGUCCACAAGGUGCUCUCCGGAGGAGCAGUGAUACUAGCAGAAAUGGACAGCCAAGAGUGGCCCACAACAAUCAACUCAGACACCAUCAAAUGGUACUACGCGUGAAGACACGUUUCUUAGUUGUAUUAGUUAUUUAUUUGCUUGCAAUCAAUUUUUAAUAUAUAGGAAAACAAAAUAAGUUCCUUGUAAUUUGAAUUGCGCAAUGACCUGACUUCCCCACAGUGGGAUACGUAGGUAGUCCAUUUGGGACCCGUUCGCAUUAUUAGUAAAAACCAAAACUCAAUUACUUUAUUUUGAACUAUGUUCGACCUGAUUCCUGCAGCGACAGGAUCUGUAGGCGCUUUUUGAAAUCAGUCAUGACAAACAAAAACCCAAGAAAACCCUAGGAAGCCACAGAGAUAAGACUUCGAAGAGAAUUCAGAAUGGACACGAGAAAUUUCCACACAUACCUAACUGGGGCAGAAGUUUUGAGAGGAUCUCAAAAAUUCCUUCAACAAGUCCGGCCUAAGAGUCAGCCAAUCCAACAUCUCAAACUGGGGCAGAAAUUUUGAGAGGACUUCCCUCAACAGUUCACACCUAAGAGAUCGACUCGAAACCCUAAAUGGGGCAGAAAUUUUUAAAGGGUCUCAAAAUUUCUUACAUCAAGAUUCGACGCCAGAGUUUGCCAAAGCAAGAUUUAAACUGGGGCAGAAUUUUUGAGAAGGUCUACAAAAUUCCCCACAAAAGAGUUGCAGCUUCAACCACAAAACGCAGGAAAGGGCAGAAGAGUCCUCAUUUAAAUGCGCUUGUCAUGACAACCAAUUUAGAAAAUUUUCAAAAUUUACAUUUAUUUUAUACACAAAAAUACGAAAACUUUUGAUCAACAAAUGUAUAUAUUGCUUUAAGAUAUAUUCAUCAUUUCAAACUACCAAACCCAAGAGGAUCAGGCCUAAGGAAGCAGACCAAGCCAGCAAAGCUAGGGUGGAAUCGAAGAUAAUAACAUGGAUCAAUUUUAUAGGAAACUAACAUUUUCCUAAUGCAGGUCUCCAGUUUCGUCAGGAGGAGGACCAUUUAGCUAACUUUAUUUGUUAACAACAGGUAAUGGCAGCUUAUCGGAGGAAGAUCCGGACCACAACCAAGUCAAGAAAGCUAUAAAUGAAUUAAAAUGCCACAAGGGCAAACAUCUAGCCGCAAAAGGCCGUAAAGAGAUUGAAAUGCCACAAGGGAAAAUAUCUAGCCAGAAAGGGCUAACGAAGGACUGAAAUGCCACAAGGGAAAUAUUUAGCCAAAAAGGGCUGAAGAGGGAUGAAUGCCACAAGGGAAAAACAUCAGGACAAAAGGGUCACAAUCAACAUAAAGGACGAAAAAAAGAUGAUUUAGCCAAAGGGUCCAUAUCUGUCAUUAACAUGCCGAAGGGUCCAUCCCUCGCAGAUGCGGGAUCAUUGAAUCAGAAACCCUUUUUAUUCCCCAUUUCGUGUUUAGUCUUUUCAUCCACAAACUUGAAAUCUAGAUAGAGAUUUUGGGGCGAUUUGGUCGAAGUUUCUUGGGAUUCAUCUUUGGGGUAAGUUCCCUAUACUCUUUUAUGAUUUUAUCAUGUAUUGGAAUCUAUGGUAGGAAUUAUGAAUUACAUGGGGGAUUUUGGUUAUGAACCCUAAAAUGAGUUUUGAAGUAUCUUUCAUCCAAUUUGAGUUUUGUUGGGAAAUUUCUUAAAUCCUAAUCAUCAAAAUCAUUGGUUGGCUAGUUCCUAAGUUAGAAUCUUGCUUUUUCUCAAAGACUUUGUUUAUGGAAAAUAAGGGUUGGAUGAAUAUGAACCCUAGGUCGAUAAUGGUCCCCCUUGACUAAAUUCAUGGAUGAUUUUGAAAGGAUUUUAUGAUUUGUGGCUUAGGUUAGCUACUUCUAACUCUGAAUUCUAUUUUUAAACAAAUUUGCAAACAGAUUAAAAUACGGGUUUUCUUAUAAAUUGGGGAAUUUGAUGAAAUAAUGAAAUUGAUGAUAAAAUGAGACUAGUUUGUGAUGAAAAAUUGGUAUUUUGACCUCCUAACCUUUGGGUAACCUGUUUUCAACUAGAAUUUCCAAUUUUGCCCUUGUGGGGUCGGGUUUCAUUUUAAAGGUCAUUUUUUAUUUCGAAUAGUAUUAGGGCAAUAUGGAUAUCAUAUGUCUCAAAAUCUAAUGUAGAAUAAUAAAUUGUUAUACUUUGAUCGUUCAGAAGCUAUCCAGAAGGGAAAGGCUUUGGCUUAAGGUUCGUGACACCUAUUCGGCCUUGGAGGUAGGUUAUGGCUUACUUAUGUUUAGACUUCGGUUAGAGAAUCGUAUGUAAAUGGCAGUGAUUGACGGGGAAAACAUGAUAGGCCUUCGGGAAUGGUGUGGAGGUGAAUUCCAAUAAGGUUGGUAUCGUCAGCUUAUAUGUGGGCUUGUUACCAUGUUUGCUAAUAUGUGUGUUAGUUGAUUGAUCUAUUUUGUCAUUUGAUUCCCACUUAUCCCAUGGUAAGGAAAGACUGAAAGUAAUGACUUGAAUUGUGUUCAGUAUUCUUGGCUUGAUUAUUGAUUCUAUGAUGCAUAUUGUUACAUCUCACUUGCCUCAUGAAAAAAAGGAAGGAAGAUAUUAAAGAAUUAAGUUUGAUACACAUUUUAUGGCAAGUGUCUGUUGAUCCUAUGUUAUGUGGUGUAUUUGAGGUUGAUUUCAUGCAUGACAUUGUAUCCCAUAUUUCAUAUGUGAUUCGUUGUAAUUGUGAAUUGACGGUACUCAUCUCUGUUUCUUGAUAUCUCACUUAUCAUAUGGAAAGGAAGGUUAUUGAAAGGGAAUGAAUUAUGAUGUGAAUUACAUAGUAAUGUGACUAUUGAUUCCACUAUGUGUGGUGUUGUUGAGAUUGAUUUCUAUUCAUGACAUACAUUCUAUAUUGCAUAUGUGAUUUGAUAUGAUUAUGAAACUGGAAAUGAUGAUAAGUGAGAGAGUAAAGCCUCUGAGGUCUUUGCCGGAGAGCGUAAAAGAGAGAUGAGAGUCCGUUAUCCGAGAUAUUUACCAAAGAAAAAUAUGGGCUCGCUAUUCGAGGUCAUUUAUCGGAGCGAGAGAGUGGUCGUGUCCGAGGUCAUUUGCCAAAACGAGGGAUACAUGGACUUUGCGAGUCCCCCAUGGGUCAUGGUUAUGAGGCAUUGCCCUCAGCAUGUGUGUACGGUACGGAGAGAAGGCUUGUGGGACAUUGCAUAGCACUUGCAUAACAUUGCAUCCUAUUUGUAUUUUACUUCACAUCAUUGCAUCGCACAUUACCUCAUUGGAUUCUUGGUGGUGAUUUACUUGAGUUGUUGCCUGUUUGUUAAGUGAUUGCUUAAAAACUUUGCGGACUUAUGGAUUAGAAGAUUUAACUUAGGCUAUGACCGGAGAAUAUUGAGACUUGCUGUGCCCAUUGUUGUUGUGAAAAGUUAUCCGGACAUGUUUAGUGACUAUACUUGAUGGCUUAUCUGUUCUACUCGUUGAUUUAUGCUCAUUAUGCGUUAUCUAAUCAUUGUCGGCCUAUGAUACCUACGUGCCUUGUGUUGUGCUGAUACUACUCUUGCUACACUCUUUAUGGAGUGUAAAGUUGUUUUCAGGUUGGUGUUCGAGACCUCGUGAUAGAUCCUGAGGAUAUCACAAAGAUUUUUGGGUGAGCUAUUAGCUGACCUGCAGCUCGGAGUCUCUUCAUGUGUAUUCUGUCCAUUCUCUUUUUGCAGACAGUACUUAUUUUAGUUUGGAGUUUGUAUUUCAUUUCAAACUUUGUAAAUCCUUGUAGAAGCUCUGGUACAAAUUAAGACCAGGUUUUGGGAAUUUUUAUGAUAAAAGUAUUCUUU